GACGAACGCUGGCGGCGUGCUUAACACAUGCAAGUCGAACGGAAAGGCCCUGCUUGCAGGGUACUCGAGUGGCGAACGGGUGAGUAACACGUGGGUGAUCUGCCCUGCACUUCGGGAUAAGCCUGGGAAACUGGGUCUAAUACCGGAUAGGAGCCAUUUUUAGUGUGAUGGUUGGAAAGUUUUUUCGGUGUAGGAUGAGCUCGCGGCCUAUCAGCUUGUUGGUGGGGUAAUGGCCUACCAAGGCGGCGACGGGUAGCCGGCCUGAGAGGGUGGACGGCCACAUUGGGACUGAGAUACGGCCCAGACUCCUACGGGAGGCAGCAGUGGGGAAUAUUGCACAAUGGGCGCAAGCCUGAUGCAGCGACGCCGCGUGGGGGAUGACGGCCUUCGGGUUGUAAACUCCUUUCGCUAGGGACGAAGCUUUUUGUGACGGUACCUAGAUAUGAAGCACCGGCUAACUACGUG
rnacentral:rRNA from 1 species